rnacentral:rRNA from 1 species
UACGUAGGUGGCAAGCGUUGUCCGGAUUUACUGGGUGUAAAGGGUGCUCAGGUGGCUUGGAAAGUCAGUGGUGAAAUCUGAGAGCUUAACUCUCAAACUGCCAUUGAUACUUCUUAGCUUGAGUACGGAAGAGGCUGAUGGAAUUUCAGGUGUAGCAGUGAAAUGCGUAGAUAUCUGAAAGAACACCAGUGGCGAAGGCGGUCAGCUGGUCCGUUACUGACACUAAAGCACGAAAGCGUGGGUAGCAAACAGG